GAUUUCUGGUUUGAUGCGUUUGGCCCUCUCGGAGCAAUCCGGCGUGCGUGCCGAUGCGCGUCUGCCAUCCCUUGUAGAGAACGUUUCUACCCUUCACUGGGCCGGAUUCGCAAUCUACAUCUUUUACUUUGAAAAAAUUAGAGUGUUUAAAGCAGGCUUGUGCUAUGAAUACAUUAGCAUGGAAUAAUAAUCUAGGACUUUCGGUUCUAUUUUGUUGGUGUUCUGGAGCUGAAGUAAUGAUUGAUAGGGAUAGUUGGGGGUGCUAGUAUUCAAUGGCCAGAGGUGAAAUUCUCGGAUUCCUUGAAGACUAACUUAUGCGAAAGCAUU
rnacentral:rRNA from 1 species